rnacentral:sRNA from 1 species
CGGUUUUUUUAAACUUUUCGGUAUUUUUAGGUCAAAAUUAAAUCGAUAUGAAUUGUGCUGUCGCGACUUAUCGAAACACUGCCAUUUGAAUUGCGGAACAAAACAAAGUAAUUUUUGUAUUAGAUUUUCCCGUGGACGGCCGUUUUAAAGACCGGCGGCGCCCUUUGCCGCAGCUGUGGCCCACUACUCUGCCCUGCCUCAGCCCCCAGACCACCCCGGAUGUGCUCUACGCGGAGUGUUCAUCAACAAAGCAGACCAUCGCUGAAACUGGCCUGGAAACUGGGACACACACUGGCUACCGGCAAUACCAUCGUCCUAAAGUCAGUCAAUGUGGUGCCUGGUUUCGGUAGAGCCGGCGCUGCCCUGCCCAAUCACCCAGAUUGCCUCUUUUAGCUUCCUGGGCGAGCUCGCAGAAGCCUCGCAACAUUGCCGUGCAUGCCAUGAAGUCUGCUCUUCUCGACAGAUGUCGGGAGCCAUCAGGUCAUCAUUCGGGCCAGACUGGGUGGAUAGUCUGGACACUUGUGUAAUCCCCUACUCGCGUCCUUGCCGCCUAGGGGAUUUGUGUACUGGCUGGACGGAGACUGUCAACGGAGAGCGUCGUUCCGCGGACCUGCAUCGUCUGUCGCAGAUCACCGACAUCCGGGCCGUGUGGACACCGGAUGCGAAAGUGCUGCGCAAUCACACGUCUCUUCACGGCUCACAAAUUGUUUCCUCAACUGCAUAGCCAGUGGGGUGUGACACGCAGUACUCACGACGUCUGGUCUGCUCGUGUCCCAAACAUCUGAUGCUAUCCGGGAGUAGUGACAUGAACAAGGACUGUAUAUCCGUCUUCUGGCGCUGCGAUGGUACCACCUGUGACAACUGUGACAAUGUCCACGAUGCCGACUGCUGCAAGCGGCCAAGAGACUUUCAGUGUCCCAUCAACAAAGUGAGUGGAAAGACACGAUAACUGCACAAACCAUAUCGUGCUGCAUGAAUCACUGCAAAAAAAAAAAUACCACCCAAGUAGCAGAGGAACUAUAUGAUAAUUCGAAACGACGGUGUCCUUUUAGUUAUGGGAACAUUUUUUGGAAUGCAUAAGCAUCUUUUAAUGAAACAAAACGGAAUGAAAUGCCAAUGUGUCCUUUCACAUAUGGGAAUUUAUAAGAGUUUCGAAGUACAAGUGCAGAAGAUUCCAAAUCUUUGCCACGAUUCGACAGAUCCGCCUCCCCUCGGCCAGUACCGAAUAGGGUCCAUAUAUCCUUCGCUGGUAAAAUAAAAAUCAAAUACGACGAAGAAUA